rnacentral:lncRNA from 1 species
GGAAUUCUAAAAAUGUAAAAAUUACAAAAAAAAAAAACUAAAUUAACUAAGCAAUUGAAAAUUGAAAGUCUGAGUCCCUUGGUGCCGUGGGCCACUUUGUUUCUUUCUUUCUUUUCUUUUCUUUAAUUUGCAUGCAAUUGUUUCAUCUUUCUUUCCACUUUAUUUCUAUUUCUUUAUUAUGUUUUCAUUUUAUUAUCUUUAUUAUUAUUAUUAUCAUUAUUAUUAAAGUUACUUUAAUAUAUAACAUAUACACAAGCAAAUUCAUUAAACCAUAACAGGCCAACUCCCACCAUUUUAAUAAAUGGUAAGUUUGCUACUUUAGUCCCUUCUAUUUCUUUCAAUCUAUAAUUCAACUUUUAACCCUUACGCGAUUUAGUCCCUAUACCUUAAUAACUUCUAAUUCACGAAAUUUACUAAUCCAAAAAUUAAUUGGCUACUAAGUUAGCCUCGUAAAUAUAUAAUAAAAAUAUUUACGAGUCCGGUUUACGAAAACGGAGUCUCCAAAAUACAUUUUUCGACACCCCUAACUAUUGGGUCGUUACACACCCAAUUACAUUUUCUAAUCUUUAGGGGAAGGGUGAGAAUUGGAGUAAUUAGGCGGUAAUUACAUCCAAAUUUAAUUACCCUUUGACUUUCCAAACGCGUAUUCACAAGUAUCAAACUAUUACAAGCGGACUGUCUAAGUAACUACCAAGUAUAAUCAAACUGAUACAGACCAUUCUAAAGCCAACUAAAUAGACUAAAACUCUCAUACAAGAUGAGACUCAAAGACCUAUACAUAUAAUUGCUGUAAAACUCAAAUUCUGCCCGGGCCCGCCUACACAAAAUAAAACCAAAUAAAAUAAAUUAAUGUCCAUUUACAUUGGCCCAAAACAAUACAGCCCAAAUGACCCAAUUACAGAAACCCAAACCCAUUUUCAAAAAAAAAAAAAACCUAGCCUAGGCAGAAACAAGCUCAGCCGCUGCACGCCCCAAUAGUAGCCACCAGCCACUGCCCUUACCCACGCGCGCUACCACGCGCCUUCAGCUGGCCUUGUACCUACAACAAACGCAAACAACCAGCAAGGGAAAGCAAGCAUAAUGAAAUAACAGCAAAAAUAACAGAGAAAAAUAUAAAAGAAAAAUAAAUAUUUUUUUGUAAUUUCAUUAUAUUCGGCUAUAUAAAGCUGAUUGUGGCAUUUGUAAAAGGAUUCACGCAUAUAAUCAAUAAAAAAGGAAAUGUUACAAAAACGAAAUAAAAAAGUUUUCUGUGAUUUAUAUUUAUUUUUUUCGUUUUUUAUUUCUUUAAUUUUUUUUCUUUUUUGUAAAGAAUAAUAGAAAGGGGAAGAGAGAGGACUUACCGAGUGUCUGUGGUCUCCUCGUCGGCUUAGAUCACCGUCCUUGGCAGAGCCAUGGCGAAGGAUCGGCGGAUACGGUGACAGCAUGGGGCUAGGGUCGAAACCCUAGCAGAGAAAAGAAGGAGUAGCAACUUUUUUUUAAAACAUAGGCUGUAGUGU